CGGCUUGCUUACUGAUUAAAUUUCUCGAUUCUGAUAUAUGCUUAAUGCAUAGACCAAAUUGAUGCCUUUUUGUGCGUGUCUGAGCUAA